GUGUUGUACUGAAUGAGAGAAAGCUAGCAUUCUCCUUGACAAGGAUGGAAGAGGCUCUCGGGCCUGACAACACUCAAACAGUUGGACAUUGCUUCCUACUGCCAAGGUACUCUAAUCGGAAGAAGCUCUCCUUAAAAUAACAAAUAAAU
rnacentral:ncRNA from 1 species